rnacentral:rRNA from 1 species
UGGGGAAUAUUGGACAAUGGGCGAAAGCCUGAUCCAGCCAUGCCGCGUGUGUGAAGAAGGUCUUCGGAUUGUAAAGCACUUUAAGUUGGGAGGAAGGGCAGUUACCUAAUACGUGAUUGUUUUGACGUUACCGACAGAAUAAGCACCGGCUAACUCUGUGCCAGCAGCCGCGGUAAUACAGAGGGUGCAAGCGUUAAUCGGAAUUACUGGGCGUAAAGCGCGCGUAGGUGGUUAGUUAAGUUGGAUGUGAAAUCCCCGGGCUCAACCUGGGAACUGCAUUCAAAACUGGCAAGCUAGAGUAUGGUAGAGGGUGGUGGAAUUUCCUGUGUAGCGGUGAAAUGCGUAGAUAUAGGAAGGAACACCAGUGGUGAAGGCGACCACCUGGACUGAUACUGACACUGAGGUGCGAAAGCGUGGGGAGCAAACAGGAUUAGAUACCCAAGUAGUCCCUGAGCGGGCUGGCAAGGCGCAU